rnacentral:rRNA from 1 species
GCCGAACGCUUUCUUCUUUCUUAACACAUGCAAGUCGAACGGAAAGGCCCUGCUUUUGUGGGGUGCUCGAGUGGCGAACGGGUGAGUAACACGUGAGUAACCUGCCCUUGACUUUGGGAUAACUUCAGGAAACUGGGGCUAAUACCGGAUAGGAGCUCCUGCUGCAUGGUGGGGGUUGGAAAGUUUCGGCGGUUGGGGAUGGACUCGCGGCUUAUCAGCUUGUUGGUGGGGUAGUGGCUUACCAAGGCUUUGCCGGGUAGCCGGCCUGAGAGGGUGACCGGCCACAUUGGGACUGAGAUACGGCCCAGACUCCUACGGGAGGCAGCAGUGGGGAAUAUUGCACAAUGGGCGGAAGCCUGAUGCAGCAACGCCGCGUGCGGGAUGACGGCCUUCGGGUUGUAAACCGCUUUCGCCUGUGACGAAGCGUGAGUGACGGUAAUGGGUAAAGAAGCAACGGCUAACUACGUG